GGACAACCUGCCCUCGGGUGGGGGAUAACCCCGGGAAACUGGGGCUAAUCCCCCAUAGGGGAUGGGUACUGGAAUGUCCCAUCUCCGAAAGCGCUUAGCGCCCGAGGAUGGGUCUGCGGCGGAUUAGGUUGUUGGUGGGGUAACGGCCCACCAAGCCGAAGAUCCGUACGGGCCAUGAGAGUGGGAGCCCGGAGAUGGACCCUGAGACACGGGUCCAGGCCCUACGGGUCGCAGCAGGCGCGAAACCUCCGCAAUGCGGGAAACCGCGACGGGGUCAGCCGGAGUGCUCGCGCAUCGCGCGGGCUGUCGGGGUGCCUAAAAAGCACCCCAUAGCAAGGGCCGGGCAAGGCCGGUGGCAGCCGCCGCGGUAAUACCGGCGGCCCGAGUGGCGGCCACUAUUAUUGGGCUUAAAGCGUCCGUAGCCGGGCUGGUAAGUCCUCCGGGAAAUCUGGUCGCUUAACGAUCAGACUGCCGGAGGAUACUGCCAGCCUAGGGACCGGGAGAGGCCGGGGGUAUUCCCGGGGUAGGGGUGAAAUCCUGUAAUCCCGGGAGGACCACCUGUGGCGAAGGCGCCCGGCUGGAACGGGUCCGACGGUGAGGGACGAAGGCCAGGGGAGCGAACCGGAUUAGAUACCCGGGUAGUCCUGGCUGUAAACGAUGCGGACUAGGUGUCACCGAAGCUACGAGCUUCGGUGGUGCCGGAGGGAAGCCGUUA
rnacentral:rRNA from 1 species